rnacentral:ribozyme from 1 species
AAGCGCUUCAAGGACUCUGGAAAACGCCGGGGCGAAGAUCGGCGCAAGGAGCGCUUCGAGCGAGAGCGGCUCCUGGAAGAAAUGGCCACGGAUCGGCGUCGGCGGUGGCAGAAAGCAAACCCCGGUGCGGGAGGAUACC